ensembl:snoRNA SNORA70 Small nucleolar RNA SNORA70
CUGCAGCAAAUUUAGCCAAUUAUACAUCCCCCCCCCAUAAAGGCUUGAGUGUAAAGACUAUACACAGCAGCUUUCUCACCAGUGUACAUAGCCUGUUGCCAAUACAGGUUGCCCUGAGGGACGAUGGAGGGAGUU